UGAAUUUCAGCACUUUAGUUAGUCAGACCUCACUAUGUGUGUGACAGUUUCUGCUGUAGACAGUUUACGUUACCGUCUAAGGUGAUCAGUAGUGUGUGAGUUCUCACAUGGCUUGUCCUGAGAACAUGUUUUUUCUCAUUGGCCUCUUUAUGUCAGGUGUUUUGGCC